rnacentral:rRNA from 1 species
CAAUAGCGUAUAUUAAAGUUGUUGCGGUUAAAAAGCUCGUAGUUGGAUUUUGGGUUCACUUCCGGCGGGCCGGUGCAAGCCGCGAACUGCUAGAAUGGACCUUCUGUCUGGAGGGCCGGCGCUUCCGCUUCACUGCGUGGCGUCGGCCGUCUAGGACUUUUACUUUGAACAAAUUGGAGUGUUUAAAGCAGGCGAUUGUCUUGAACACAUUAGCAUGGAAUAACCGAAUAGGGCUUUGGCUCUAUUUUGUUGGUUUUAAGGGCCGAAGUAAUGAUUAAUAGGGAUAGUUGGGGGCAUUCGUAUUUAAUUGUCAGAGGUGAAAUUCUUAGAUUUAUGAAAGACGAACUUCUGCGAAAGCAUUUGCCAAGGAUGUUUUCAUUAAUCAAGAACGAAAGUUAGGGGAUCGAAGA